UCUCCAUCCUCCUUGGUUGAACCAAUUAGCUCUCCUUCAAUUUUCUUUCUUUCAUUGCUUGAUUACUCCAUUCAAAACCAUUAAAGAACUAAAGUUUAUUGUCUCCAAGACUUCACCCAUGCAUUAAAAGUGGAAUAUUGGCUAUAAUCUCUACGUUUUAAAGCUUGGAAAGAGCAAGUGAAUAAUAACCAUGGUGAUCUAAUUUUGAGAUUUCCAUGGAAGAACAGGGUAAAGGAUCUAAAAGAGAGAAGGGAAAGAGGUAUUGAAGUGAGAUUUGAAGCUUUUGGAAAUAUAAUCAAAGCUAAAGAGGUUGUUACACUAAAUUAUGUCCUUCUAUGAGCUUCCCUCUUUCUUAGUUGGAAGCAAAUUAGGGUUUAUGUUUUCAAUUUGUAAAUUGAUGCUAAAUGAUGUAAUUAGAGUGACAUAAGACAUAAUGUAGAAUAUUAAUAAAUUAAAAUUAAAUAAAAUGAAAAGAGUAUAAAACCCAUGCUUGGUCGAACUACAUGGGUGUUAAUGGCUCUA